rnacentral:tRNA from 1 species
GGGCCUGUAGUGUAGCUUGGAUAUCACUGAGGCCUCCGGAGCCUCAAACUCGGGUUCGAAUGGGAUUUGGAGAUCCCCGAAAUUCCCGACAGGCCCG